rnacentral:lncRNA from 1 species
CAAAAUUUGUCGUGGCCGAAAUAUCUGUGGAGUCGACUCAAUGGUUUCAACCGUUGCAGCUGCAAGUACCUCACAGUAGGAUAUGAAUUAGUAUUACCUUCAUAUUGACUCACCUUAACUCAAUUCUGUACGUAAAAGUGUAACUGAUUCCAUAACUACAAACUUUCUUCCUUCUAUUUAAGACAAAACACCGAUUUAUUAGAAGAUUGUUCACUAAAUGUUUAGCCCUUCAUCUUUUUAUUUCUAACAACGAAUGAAGUCCAUGGUUAAGUAGCAUAAACAAAAGAAUGGGAGCAAAAAUCAUUUAUCCAACUAUCAUAGUAUCCCUGCUUGUACACACUUGAUCUUGUUGACGUUGAAAGCAGGGACGUAUUUGGGUGGGGGGGGGGGGGGGGGCCCCGGGCAUCGUGUCCAUACAUAUGCUCUAAGCAUUUGGAUCACGGUGUCUUGUUGGUAGGUUAUGGUUCGGCUGGCUAUGCUCCAAUUCGAAUGAAAGAAAAACCAUUCUGGAUCAUAAAGAACUCGUGGGGUGAGAAGUGGGGAGAGAAGGGAUACUACAAAAUUUGUCGUGGCCGAAAUAUCUGUGGAGUCGACUCAAUGGUUUCAACCGUUGCAGCUGCAAGUACCUCACAGUAGGAUAUGAAUUAGUAUUACCUUCAUAUUGACUCACCUUAACUCAAUUCUGUACGUAAAAGUGUAACUGAUUCCAUAACUACAAACUUUCUUCCUUCUAUUUAAGACAAAACACCGAUUUAUUAGAAGAUUGUUCACUAAAUGUUUAGCCCUUCAUCUUUUUAUUUCUAACAACGAAUGAAG